rnacentral:rRNA from 1 species
GGGAGCUUGCUCCCUGGAUUAGUGGCGAACGGGUGAGUAACACGUGAGUAACCUGCCCUUGACUCUGGGAUAAGCACUGGAAACGGUGUCUAAUACCGGAUACGAACUUCAGCCGCAUGGCUAGGAGUUGGAAAGAAUUUCGGUCAAGGAUGGACUCGCGGCCUAUCAGCUAGUUGGUGAGGUAAUGGCCCACCAAGGCGACGACGGGUAGCCGGCCUGAGAGGGUGACCGGCCACACUGGGACUGAGACACGGCCCAGACUCCUACGGGAGGCAGCAGUGGGGAAUAUUGCACAAUGGGCGCAAGCCUGAUGCAGCAACGCCGCGUGAGGGACGACGGCCUUCGGGUUGUAAACCUCUUUUAGUAGGGAAGAAGCGAAAGUGACGGUACCUGCAGAAAAAGCACCGGCUAACUACGUGCCAGCAGCCGCGGUAAUACGUAGGGUGCAAGCGUUAUCCGGAAUUAUUGGGCGUAAAGAGCUCGUAGGCGGUUUGUCGCGUCUGCUGUGAAAACUGGGGGCUCAACCCCCAGCCUGCAGUGGGUACGGGCAGACUAGAGUGCGGUAGGGGAGAUUGGAAUUCCUGGUGUAGCGGUGGAAUGCGCAGAUAUCAGGAGGAACACCAAUGGCGAAGGCAGAUCUCUGGGCCGUAACUGACGCUGAGGAGCGAAAGCAUGGGGAGCGAACAGGAUUAGAUACCCUGGUAGUCCAUGCCGUAAACGUUGGGAACUAGAUGUAGGGUCCAUUCCACGGAUUCUGUGUCGCAGCUAACGCAUUAAGUUCCCCGCCUGGGGAGUACG